rnacentral:rRNA from 1 species
UGCUGGAGGUAUCAGAAGUGCGAAUGCUGACAUAAGUAACGAUAAAGCGGGUGAAAAGCCCGCUCGCCGGAAGACCAAGGGUUCCUGUCCAACGUUAAUCGGGGCAGGGUGAGUCGACCCCUAAGGCGAGGCCGAAAGGCGUAGUCGAUGGGAAACGGGUUAAUAUUCCCGUACUUGGUGUUACUGCGAAGGGGGGACGGAGAAGGCUAUGUUGGCCGGGCGACGGUUGUCCCGGUUUAAGCGUGUAGGUGUGUGUUCCAGGUAAAUCCGGUUCACUUUAACACUGAGGCGUGACGACGAGGCACUACGGUGCUGAAGCAACAAAUGCCCUGCUUCCAGGAAAAGCCUCUAAGCAUCAGGUAACAUCAAAUCGUACCCCAAACCGACACAGGUGGUCAGGUAGAGAAUACCAAGGCGCUUGAGAGAACUCGGGUGAAGGAACUAGGCAAAAUGGUGCCGUAACUUCGGGAGAAGGCACGCUGACACGUAGGUGAAGUGAUUUACUCAUGGAGCUGAAGUCAGUCGAAGAUACCAGCUGGCUGCAACUGUUUAUUAAAAACACAGCACUGUGCAAACACGAAAGUGGACGUAUACGGUGUGACGCCUGCCCGGUGCCGGAAGGUUAAUUGAUGGGGUCAGCGCAAGCGAAGCUCCUGAUCGAAGCCCCGGUAAACGGCGGCCGUAACUAUAACGGUCCUAAGGUAGCGAAAUUCCUUGUCGGGUAAGUUCCGACCUGCACGAAUGGCGUAAUGAUGGCCAGGCUGUCUCCACCCGAGACUCAGUGAAAUUGAACUCGCUGUGAAGAUGCAGUGUACCCGCGGCAAGACGGAAAGACCCCGUGAACCUUUACUAUAGCUUGACACUGAACAUUGAGCCUUGAUGUGUAGGAUAGGUGGGAGGCUUUGAAGUGUGGACGCCAGUCUGCAUGGAGCCGACCUUGAAAUACCACCCUUUAAUGUUUGAUGUUCUAACGUGGACCCGUGAUCCGGGUUGCGGACAGUGUCUGGUGGGUAGUUUGACUGGGGCGGUCUCCUCCUAAAGAGUAACGGAGGAGCACGAAGGUUGGCUAAUCCUGGUCGGACAUCAGGAGGUUAGUGCAAUGGCAUAAGCCAGCUUGACUGCGAGCGUGACGGCGCGAGCAGGUGCGAAAGCAGGUCAUAGUGAUCCGGUGGUUCUGAAUGGAAGGGCCAUCGCUCAACGGAUAAAAGGUACUCCGGGGAUAACAGGCUGAUACCGCCCAAGAGUUCAUAUCGACGGCGGUGUUUGGCACCUCGAUGUCGGCUCAUCACAUCCUGGGGCUGAAGUAGGUCCCAAGGGUAUGGCUGUUCGCCAUUUAAAGUGGUACGCGAGCUGGGUUUAGAACGUCGUGAGACAGUUCGGUCCCUAUCUGCCGUGGGCGCUGGAGAACUGAGGGGGGCUGCUCCUAGUACGAGAGGACCGGAGUGGACGCAUCACUGGUGUUCGGGUUGUCAUGCCAAUGGCACUGCCCGGUAGCUAAAUGCGGAAGAGAUAAGUGCUGAAAGCAUCUAAGCACGAAACUUGCCCCGA